rnacentral:rRNA from 1 species
UGGGGAAUAUUGCACAAUGGGCGAAAGCCUGAUGCAGCGACGCCGCGUGGGGGAUGAAGGCUUUCGGGUUGUAAACCUCUUUCGCUAUCGAACAAGGCCCGCUUAGGGUGGGUUGAGGGUAGGUGGAGAAGAAGCGCCGGCUAACUACGUGCCAGCAGCCGCGGUAAUACGUAGGGCGCGAGCGUUGUCCGGAAUUAUUGGGCGUAAAGGGCUUGUAGGCGGCUUGUUGCGCCUGCUGUGAAAACGCGGGGCUUAACUUCGCGCGUACAGUGGGUACGGGCAGGCUUGAGUGUGGUAGGGGUGACUGGAAUUCCAGGUGUAGCGGUGGAAUGCGGAGAUAUCUGGAGGAACACCGAUGGCGAAGGCAGGUCACUGGGCCAUUACUGACGCUGAGGAGCGAAAGCAUGGGUAGCGAACAGG